CUUAGUGAGACAUGCAAAGGACAUGCGAGGACUGGAAUUGGGAACCACUGGGCUACAUCAUGUGUCAUUCACCGGUAAACUACUAUGAAAAAUCACAACACUAAUUAAGGGAUAAAACCAAAAAUAAGAGGAUAAACAAGACCUUUUGCAAGAAAAAGAUGGCACCUGUGUGAAGGAGUGUCCAACAGACACAUUUAAAGACUCCAGAGGGUGGCGCUGUCAGCCCUGUCACAGCUCCUGUCUGACCUGCCACAGCCCUGGAGUGAGAGACUGUAACAGAUGCAGUGACUGAAGCCCGCAAAUUUACAGGAAGUGCCUGGUGAUCAGCUGCCUGGAAGGCCAAUAUGUUGAUGAGGGAAGUCACACUUGCCAUUAUGAUAGAUCCUGCCUGACAUUACAGUCCCAAGGCUCAGAAUUGCAUCACAUGUGCUACCAGUACCCAACAGGAUACAUGUUGGAGCAGGAGGCCGUGUGUGUAGACUGCUGUCCUCUUGGCUUUUAUUAGAAUGUGUCUAUGUCAGUUUGAGGCACCACAGUGUGUAGAUCAAUGUCCACAGCACUUUUACGAGAGCAAGCACAGCUGCAGACAGUGCGACACCAGCUGCAAAUCCUGCACAGGUGCAUCUCUUUCAUUUUCAUACUUUUUGAGAUUAAAUCAUGUAGUACCAAUAUAUCUUCAUUCUUAUCAUUAUGGGCCAUGGGCCUUCUUUGAUAAAAAUUGUAUUGCAAACAGACAGAUCUGGAUCUGUUUGCUGGACUAUAUAACAUUUCAUUGUGCUAAAAGGCAUGCUAUAGAUAUAACAAUGAAAUAACGCCUGUUGACCGAGUUACCAAGGAGGUACAGUAUAUAUAAAAUCUCUGAGGAAGCUGCUUGACAAAGGAUUCCUGGAAAAACAAAACUGGAAACCAAGUAGUUAGUAGGUACUAAGCCUCUAGUGUGAGUUACAUCCCUAUUAAAUUAGAACUCAAUGAGAACUAAAUUUGACUUUCCACUUUUUAUUUUAAAACAGCCAAAAUCUGGGCCCAUAUUCACAAAACAUUUCAUCUUA